rnacentral:snoRNA from 10 species
AUUUUUUUGUAGUUCAUAAGCAUAAUGAUUGGGUAUUCACAGUCAUGUGUGAGAUAC